UCUUAGGGAGUCUUGUUACCAAUAAAGAAAAGUUGAAAUCGUUGGAAACACCUCACAUAUGUUGCUUCCUUUAUUCACAGAACUGUGUGUUAGAUCUGUGGAAAGGAAUUACAAGACAGCU
rnacentral:snoRNA from 1 species